rnacentral:rRNA from 1 species
AUUGAACGCUGGCGGCAGGCCUAACACAUGCAAGUCGAACGAGUGGCGGACGGGUGAGUAAUGUCUGGGAAACUGCCUGAUGGAGGGGGAUAACUACUGGAAACGGUAGCUAAUACCGCAUACCAUCGGAUGUGCCCAGAUGGGAUUAACUAGUAGGUGGGGUAAAGGCUCACCUAGGCGACGAUCCCUAGCUGGUCUGAGAGGAUUACCAGGCCCACUGGAACUGAGAACCGGUCCAGACUCCUACGGGGGGCAGCAGGGGGGAAUUUUUCACAAUGGGCGCAAGCCUGAUGCAGCCAUGCCGCGUGUAUUAAGAAGGCCCUCGGGUUGUAAAGGACUUUCAGCGGGGAGGCGUUACCCGCAGAAGAAGCACCGGCUAACUCCGUGCCAGCAGCCGCGGUAAUAC